rnacentral:rRNA from 1 species
UACGUAGGGGGGCAAGCGUUGUCCCGGAUUUAUUGGGCGUAAAGAGCGUGUAGGCGGCUAGAUAGGUCCGUUGUGAAAACUCGAGGCUCAACCUCGAGACGUCGAUGGAAACCAUCUGGCUAGAGUCCGGAAGAGGAGAGUGGAAUUCCUGGGUGUAGCGGUGAAACUGCGCAGAUAUCAGGAAGAACACCCCGUGGCGAAGGCGGCUCUCUGGUACGUGACUGACGCUGAGACGCGAAAGCGUGGGGAGCAAACAGG